AGUGGAGUCUGUGUGAGGAAAAACGGAGACCGCUUAGAUGGGGAGAAGCAGGGACAAUUUCGCUCUGCAAUCAAAGCUUCAAAAAGAAGAAAAAAUCCUGCACACCAUCUCUCCUGCAGAAAGAUAAGGAGCAGUAGUUGCAGCUGCUCCUACAGCAGAAAGAAGUCAUGAGGAACUACGAGUCAAGGAGAAGGAAGAGAGGAUGAGGAAGACAGAAGAGGAGGA